rnacentral:rRNA from 1 species
UGGUGAAUUUAAGUCAGCGGGUGAAAAGUUUGUGGCUCAACCCUUAAAAUUGCCGUUGGAAACUGGGUUACUUGAGUGUGUUUGAGGUAGGCGGAAAUGCGUGGUGUAGCGGUGAAAUGCAUAGAUAUCACGCAGAAACUCCGAUUGCGAAGGCAGCUUCACUAAACCAUAACUGACACUGAAGCACGAAAGCGUGGGGAUCAAACAGGAUUAGAUACCCUGGGUAGUCCACGCAGUAAACGAUGAUUACUAGGAGUUUGCGAUACAAUGGUAAGCUCUACAGCGAAAGCGUUAAGUAAUCCACCUGGGGAGUACGCCGGCAACGGUGAAACUCAAAGGAAUUGACGGGGGCCCGCACAAGCGGAGGAACAUGUGGUUUAAUUCGAUGAUACGCGAGGAACCUUACCCGGGUUUGAACGUAGUCUGACCGGAGUGGAAACACUUUUUCUAGCAAUAGCAGAUUACGAGGUGCUGCAUGGUUGUCGUCAGCUCGUGCCGUGAGGUGUCGGCUUAAGUGCCAUAACGAGCGCAACCCUUAUCACUAGUUACUAACAGGUGAAGCUGAGGACUCUGGUGAGACUGCCAGCGUAAGCUGUGAGGAAGGUGGGGAUGACGUCAAAUCAGCACGGCCCUUACAUCCGGGGCGACACACGUGUUACAAUGGCAUGGACAAAGGGCAGCUACCUGGCGACAGGAUGCUAAUCUCCAAACCAUGUCUCAGUUCGGAUCGGAGUCUGCAACUCGACUCCGUGAAGCUGGAUUCGCUAGUAAUCGCGCUUCGAGCCGUGGCGCGGUGAAUACGUUCCCGGGCCCUUGCACACACCGCCCGUCAAGGGCGAAUUCCAG